AGCAGCCGCGGUAAUUCCAGCUCCAAUAGCGUAUAUUAAAGUUGUUGCAGUUAAAAAGCUCGUAGUUGAAUUUCGGGAUCAGUAUGUUGGUCGUGCUUCGGUACGUACUGUCAUUACUGGUUUCUACCUUCUGAAGAACCUUGAUGUCAUUAAUUUGGUGUCUUGGGGAAUCAGGACUGUUACUUUGAAAAAAUUAGAGUGUUUAAAGCAAGCAUACGCUUGAAUACAUUAGCAUGGAAUAAUGAAAUAGGACGUUUGAUUCUAUUUUGUUGGUUUCUAGGAUCGACGUAAUGAUUAAUAGGGAUAGUUGGGGGCAUUAGUAUUCAAUUGUCAGAGGUGAAAUUCUUGGAUUUAUUGAAGACUAACUACUGCGAAAGCAUUUGCCAAGGAUGUUUUCAUUAAUCAAGAACGAAAGUUAGGGGAUCGAAGACGAUCAGAUACCGUCGUAGUCUUAACCAUAAACUAUGCCGACUAGGGAUCGGAUGAUGUUAUUUUUAAUUGUACUCAUUCGGCGCCUUAA
rnacentral:rRNA from 1 species